GACAGUUUUUAGCUCGACUUUUCUAUGAAAAGGGGAGCUAUCCUACUCGCCCCGGCGUCGGCGUCGGCGUUGGCGUCACACCUUGGUUAAGUUUUUCGUACCACCCCACUUUAUUUCAGAAGUAUUACAAGUAUGGCUUUGAAACUUACCAUACUUGUUCACCAUCAUAACCUCCAUCUACAGACAAGAGUACAUAACUCUGUCAAGGUUUUUGACAGAAUUAUGGCCCUUUUUUGACUUAGAAAGUGUAUUGAGCUUGGUUUAAGUUUUUUGUACCACCUCACUUUAUUUCAAAACCAUUGGAGGUAUUGCUUUGAAACUGACCAUACUUGUUUACCAUCACGACCUUCAUCAACAGACAAGAGGACAUAACUCUGUUCAAGGUUUUGACAGAAAUAUGCCCCUUUUUGACUUAGAAAAUACAUUGAAUAUGGGUAAAAUCCACUUAUUGCCUUAACCCUUUGAGAUAUUGCUUUGAAACUUUUAAUGCUAUUUCACAUCAUUACCCCCAUCUGUACGCAAGAGAAGGUAACUCUGUCAAGGAUUUGUUUUAAAAAUUUAAGGCCUUUUAUCGACUUAGAAUCUUGGUUAAGUUUUUAGUACCAGUCCACUUUUUGACUGAACUGUUUGAGAUAUUAAUUUGAAAGUUGGAAUACUUGUUUACAAUCAUGAUUCCCAAACAUGUCCAGGAGAAGGUAAUUCUGUCAAAGAUUUUAUUUGAAUUAUGGCCCUUAACUGUCAAUGUUUUGUAUUAUAGGCAAGCACUAAAAAAGUU